rnacentral:rRNA from 1 species
UACGGAGGGUGCGAGCGUUAUCCGGAUUUACUGGGUUUAAAGGGUGUGUAGGCGGACUAUUAAGUCAGUGGUGAAAUCUUCAGGCUCAACCUGGAAACUGCCGUUGAUACUAUUAGUCUUGAAUACUGUGGAGGUGAGCGGAAUGUGUCAUGUAGCGGUGAAAUGCAUAGAGAUGACACAGAACACCGAUUGCGAAGGCA